CCGAACUGCUUCCGCCAGACGACGGCGUGGUUGAUCAUGGCGAGGGCUUCUUUGACUUUGAAGUCGCGGGCGCGGAGGAACUUGAGGAGGACGGUGUCGCUCUUCUCGUCGCCGAGGAGGGGGACGCCCCAGAUGAAUACUUCCUCCGGCGGCGGCGGCGGGGCUUCCGGCUCUGCUGCAGUGACCUCUUCAGCGGGAGGCGGUGGCGAGACGACCGGGACUAACGUCUCCUCGAUCACAACCUUCUCCUCAGACACCGCCGCCGGCUCCUCUGCUGCUGCUGGGGGCACAGCCACUUCCUCCGCAGGCUUCUCUGUUGCUGCUGGGGGCACAGCCACUUCC
rnacentral:misc_RNA from 1 species